rnacentral:lncRNA from 1 species
ACCAUAAGUAUUUUGACCUAUAGAUACCACAAAUUUAUAGAUAUAACAAGUGGCCUGGAGGUCAGAAUGACAUUUCAGUAGCCACAUUUCUACCCCGUCCUGCUAAGUGGCACUUUGGGUUAGGAAGGGGUUAUAGAUCAAUGAUAGGUCACAAUGUAGAGCUGGCCUCUUUAAGGUAAGAAAUUCAUGGGGUGCUGUGUGGCUUUCUCACAGCCUGGUGGCCAAGUUCCAAGAACAAACAUGUCUCCCAGAGACAGAAAGUGGAAUCCAUCAGUUCAUUCCUUAAGACCUGGGCCCCAGAAUUGUCAUGGCAUCACUUCUUUAAUUUGUUUGUCAAGCAGUCAGAGAGCCUGGCUUCAAGGGACAAGAGACAGGGACAUAGGUUCCACCUCUUGAUGGGAAGAGUAUCUAAGAAUUUGGAGACCCCCUUUUUUUCCCAUUUUUUAAAGUUUUAUUGAAGUACGGUUGAUUUACAAUGCUGCGAUAAUUUCUGUUGUAUAACAAGGUAAUUCAGCCAAACAUAUACAUACAUCCACUCUUUUUCAGAUUCUUUUCCAAUAUAUAUUAUCACAGAAUAUUGGAUAAAGUUCCCUGUGCUAUACAGCAUGUCCCCGCUAGCCAAUGAUUCUAUGUACCUUAGUGUGAAUAUGCCAAUCCCAAACCCCAAGCCAUUGCCCCCCUCUCCACCUUUGGUAACCAUAAAUUUGUUUUCAAAAUCUGUUAUUCUGUUCCUGUUUUGCACGUAAGUUCAUUUGUAUCCUUUUUUUAAAAAGAUUCCACAUAUAAGUGAUAUCAUAUAAUGUUUGUCCUUGUCCGACUUACUUCACUGAGUAUGAUAAUAUCUGGGUCCAUCCAUGUUGGUGUGAAUGGCAUUAUUUCCUUCUUUUUAUGGCUGAGUAGUAUUCCACUACAUAUAUAUUUACACACACCACAUCUUUAUCCAUUCCUCUGUUCAUGGAUGUUUAGGUUGCUUCCACAUCUUGGAUAUUUUAAAUAGUGCUGCAAUGAAUAUUGGGGUGCAUGUAUCAUUUCGAAUUAUGGUUUUCUCUGGAUAGAUAUCCAGGAGUGAGUGGGGGCACCAUUUUAAAACCACUAUGUCAUCUUGAAUGUCAUCUCCUCCAAGAGGUCUUUCCUGCCCACUUCUUCUUCAGCAGCCCUCUCCACUCCCCAAAUCACUGUCUAAAACAAUACAUUCUCUUUGAUUUUCUUCAUAGCACCAUUACCUGGACUUUCUCUGUGAAUGCAUUCAAUGAAUUGCAUAAUUUGAAUCUCACUCCAUGCCCAGUAUGUGGUUUCCAGGAGAGUAGAAGUCUUAGGGGUCGUGUCCACAACUAUAUCCCCACAUAGCAUCAUAGGUACUCCAUACAGAGUUGGUGCCAAUAAACAUUGGUUGAGUGGAUGAAAUUUUCAUCACCUACCUCUUCCAGCAGCUCAAAACAGAGAGAUACUGAAUACUCAACAACAAUACUUGUCUCCCAUGUUUCUUUUAAAAUCUGGGAUUCUCAUUAAUAGGACCACUUUUGGACCUGAGAAUCCAGCUAAUUAUUACAGACUAAGCCUAUGAAGCUCUUAGUCAAAGCUGCCUAGUAUCACUGUGGAUGUGGUGGAUCUUUGCCUCUGGGGAAUGUACCAAAUACCCCGUCACACAAAUUCCUAACUUUGACAUGAAUGGAUUAGGAGCUAGCUAAGGAAGACAUAUUCAUGAAGAUGCAACUUUCUGAGGUGCAGCAAAGGAAAUGUCUCUGGGUAUUUGUUACUGUCCGUGGCUAUGGAGUUACUUGGAAGGAAAUGGUAACAGUGCAGCGUAAUCCUAAAAAAAUGGGUGGAGUGACUUAUUGCCUGUUGGUUCAGAGCCUGCAAAUCUGUUUUCUGAAGUGUAGCUGGGAUAAAGCUACAGAAUAAUGGGCAUUUUUUAUCUGCUCCCACAUCCUUUAUUGGGUCCCAGGAGGGGACGGCUGAAAGGGAACAGGGAUCAGAGAAGCCUGCACACCAGAUUCUGUGUACAUUGCAGGCUGGCAAGCUGCAAGAUGGAUAUAUCAGACUUCAACCUGCAUCUUAAAUUUAGUGAGGGCAGGUCUCACCAUGAUGGUGCAUCUCUGUUUCCGUUUAGAAGAAAAUAGAGUCAAUUAAAAUCAUUGCAUUUUGGAGGGGAAGUGAUUCACACAGGUCAUUUUUUUUUAAUUGGUAGCGCAGUGGUGUUUUUUCCCUUUGUUAUCAGGACAGCAGUUAACAGGUUUCUAAUGGUACAAACGCGGGUGACAAGUAAAGCAGGCUAUUAGGAUGGUGGCUGCUGUCAGGCCUCUAAACAUAAUAGGGAGCUUGAAGGAUUUAAAAAUAAAAAUAAAAUCCAUGCCCUAUGCCCUUCAUGUCUUCCCAUGAAUUUGUGUACCUGCUCCUAGUCAUAGGCCUUCCAUUGUCUGGUUGAAGUGUCUAAAGAAUGGUAUUUUCCUGGUGCAUCUCAAGUAUUAAAAUAAUAUAAAGCAAACUUUUAAGUCAUUUUUUGGAAAGUGAAGAGUGUUUUAUCAGAUUGAUUGCUGUAAAGUUCCAGAUAGAAGUUUCAGUGGUUAUUUUGACAUGUUAUAUAUUUUAAUAUGUAUUAUUUAAAUUAUUAUAUUUUUUCUAUUUUGUUUCAAAAAUAAGAAGAGAGAGAAUUGAAAGAAAUGCUUUGUUGGAACUUGUUGACAUUUUCCCCAGGGCGUCCCCGUGAGGCGGAAGAAAGGAGAAAUCAAAGAGGUAACUUGUGACUAUAAUCAGUGAGAAAAAUAGGAAAGGACCUCAGGUCUAUGGAUACAUUUAAAACUGAGCAGAGAAGACAGUGCAGAAACCUAAUAUGAUCAGAACAGAACUCUUCAUCUUUCCUUUCAUCCUAAAAUUGCUUUUUUCUCAAAACUUCCCCAACCUUCUCCAAAAAAAUGCCACCAGUUUUCCAGUUUACCACACUGGAAUAUUAUACUUACGAUUGUUUCUAUUUCCUUGUCCCUUAUCUUCUUUUUUUUCUAAAAUUAGACCUUUAGCUGUGCCAUUUCUUUCUUUUUUUCUUCUCUUUUAGCCAUUCUUUUUUGUUGUUGUUGUUUUUAAUUGUUGCAUUUCCAAUUUGCAGUGAAUUGUUGGUUUAGUUAUGGAUAUACUGAGCCUGUAUGUAACAUUCAGGAUGGAAUUUUCAUCAGACUGGUAUAAAUACAGGGUUGACAUUUGGGGGAAAACUCAAGGUUUCCAGGGAAAUCCAAAUUUGAAACCUACUCAGAAAAAGGUGCAGUGCUCAUUUUCAAGACACUGAAUUGGUUGGAGAUAGUCAGGGAGAGGUUAGGUUCAAGCCUAUUCUUGAGGCUAAAUAGGAGCAGGAAAAGUCAGAAGAGCCAUGUUUAGAAAAGGAAGGAAAGUACAUGCAGUGCAUUUGCUGAGGAGCAAAGGAGAUCCGAGCUUCAAGGAGUUAAGCCAUUGCUGUCAAAUAUUGUAAAGAGCUUCAACAGGGAUGGAAAAUAAGAGCAGGUUGUUGGGUCUGACAUCCAGCAGGGGACUUUCCAGAGUUAGUUGGGUCUUAGAACACUGACUAGAAUAGAAGGAGAGAAUGACUUGCUGUUGAAAGCGUCUAAAUGGGAGUGAAUAUCUUCAAAACAGGGAGUUCCUGUUGUGGCUCAGUGGUUAACAAACCUGACUAGCAUCAUGAGGAUGCAGGUUUGAUCCCUGACCUCACUCAGUGGGUUAAGGAUCUGGCGUUUCUGUGAGCUGUGGUGUAGGCCGGUGGCUACAGCUCUAAUUCGAUCUCUUAGCCUGGGAACCUCCAUAUGCUGCCAGCGCAGCCCUAAAAGACAAAAAAAAAAAAAAAAAAAAAGACAAAAAACAAAACAAAAAACCAACAAAACUUCAAAACGGGCUCAAAAGCUUCCCAAGUCCUACUCACCUCUACUCUUCUUCUGGUCAGGGUUUUUCCAUUUCCCUUCCUAAGCAGAGCUAGAAGAAAGGGCUUGGGUGGCAGGUGGGUGACCAUGGAAAGUGAUGCCCAGCCAGAAGUGGGGUCUGGGGAGUGGUGAGAUGGGGAAGAUGAAAGGCCGCAUGACGAUGAGUUAUGGAGCUCAUCCAGAUGAAGGUGUUUGCACCUCAGGGCCAGAACGUGGAGUAAAUUUUAGGUCAGUCUCCCAGCUUCUUCCAAAACCCGACUUUUUUUUUUUUUUUUUUUUUUUUGAAGCUCUUGCUUCAAUGCUAUUAGAGAAACAACUGGCUGGAAUAUCUUCUACUCAGUCCGAUAACCUCACAGGCACCUCCCCAAAUCUAAUGAUGGUUUCUGCUCCCCAAACUCCUAUCCCAGCUCACCUCUCUCUGCCCCCCUCCAGAGCACAGGGAGCCUCUUCUGUUUCCUCAUCUGGAAAGGAAGCUUCUCUGCUUCUUCAGAUGACUCUACAGAUUUCUUUUAAUCUCUUUCCAGUCAUUGGGUUUAGGUCUUUGGAGAACAAAAUCCGGAGGCUGUUCAGACCAGUGCAGAUUUUGCAUCUAAGACAGCCCCCACCAACACACACACACAAACACACAUGAGCCAGUGAAGCUGGUGGAUAAAAAUGCUUCCCUCUUCCUGCCCUUUGGGAACAGGUCCCUGGUAGGAUGGAGGAUGAAGCCCGUCAACUUGAUAAUGUGUCCUUGGACUGACCUUUCCUUCUCCAUCUCACUCUGGGAGAACCUGAAGGAAGGAGGGGAAGGGGGAAAAUAAAGUGGAGAAAACCAUAAAUAUCUCCACCUAUUAUAUUUAACUCAUAAUAUCUUCAAAUGAAUACUUGAAUGAGAGGAAAUAAGGGCAAUAAACUGAGAGAAAGCUAUAAGUUAAUAGUUUCAAAUGUUAUCUGAGGAAAGUUUUUUUUUCUCCUUAGUUUGACCAUAAUAGGCUCUAAAUUCAUUGAGAAGAGGCAUAUACUACCUAUAUUUUAUCCCCUUCUGCUGCCUAAGAGGAUGCUGCACAUGUGAUCAGCACUGCAGUCUUUGACUCUGUCUUUGACUCUGAAACAUUUUUGUUUUAUUUUUUUCUGUGACAUAUGGAAGUUCCUGGGUUGUAUCAGAGCUGCAGCUGCUGGACUGUGCCAUAGCCACAGCAACACCAGUUCUGAGCCACGUCUGUGACCUACAUCACAGCUCAUGGCAACACUGGAUCCUUAACCCACUGAG